UCAUGACUUGAAAAUUAUACUGACCAUCAUUUGCAUUGACCAUUUAAGAAAAUCUGAGAAAAUAUCACUUGCACCAUAAUUUGGUACACGGUGUAAUGUACUGUAGCUUGCUUGGGUUGGGUGCUUUUGUUUUUUUUGUUGUUGUCUGUUUCUUUUAGUAAAAAUCCCCACUUGUGUCAGAAACCUUUUGAGACCCAAGGUUAACAGUAAUCAGCAGCUGAAUGGCGUCUCUAACCACAUUUGUUUUACUUUUUAAAAAAAUUUCUUAUUAAUGUGCUUUCUACAUGUAAAGCUCUGAACAAUCAAGCUCCAUCGUACAUCUGAUUGUUCAAAAUGUUCCUAUCAGAGCACUACCCUCUCGAAAAGGUUUGGAAAAGUAAAUUGGGUCUAAUUUAGAGCGGGCAGACACCCUGUCUACUCUUAAGACUAUUCCUAAAACGUUUCUUUUUGAUGGACUCCAUAGUUAAACUAACAACUACAAACUGCUUAAAAAAACCCCAAAUCAAACUACAAAAACUGAUUUAAAAAGACAUAAAAGAACAAAUAUUAUUUGGUGACAAAAGAUAUAGAGACUGUUUAAUAACUGCAAAUACUUCAUGAAUUCAUAAUUAAGCUAUUCAGUAAGUGAAAAGACUUAUAAAUACAGGCUUUUGAUAACUAAUACUACCUACAAAGGCCGGAGCACACAUUCAGAAAAUGUAAAAAAAUUAUCCAUCUGCAUGUUUCUGACAGGGCUGACUUUCUCCUUUCAGUUGUGGUAAUUAUAAAGAUCACUGAUAUUUGGCAAUAUCCUCUUGUGUUUUUGCUUCUUAUUUAUUGCAUUACGCUUGACCGCAGCUUCUAAACCGAUUUACCCUCACAGUGCAGAGCGUCAGGUCAAGGUGGGAAGCUCUUCCGACAAAAACCCAGGCGAGUCUCACACCACCAGUGACCGCGAAACCAACCGCCGUCUCGAUGAGUUUCAGUCGCCCUCGCCGGUUGCCGUGGCAACAGUUAGUCAGGAGGGAUGGUCAGCAAGUCCUCCGUCUGUGUCAUCGCCCGACGGUUGAGGAAGCCUUUCACGUUCGGUAGGCUGAAUUAAAAGACAUACCUGUGAGGCGGCGUGAGCUUACGAAAAACAAACAGUGAGUAAUAAAACAACAAUCCGAGCCAUGUCACACCGGAGGGGGGGGGGAAGAAAGAAAGAAAGAAAAAAAAACUCCACAAGCUUUUAUUAGCUUUAUCAAAACAGAAACCAGGAAAUCAAGCGGCAUUUUUAUAUGAACUGGUUAGACGUCUUCAGCCGAGCUGAGUCAUUUCUUAUGCCAGAGUGAGAAACCCAACAGCGUUCAAUGUUUGUACGCGUUUGUCCCUAAAAAUCAGACAUGCUGUUUCUAAAGCGAAAUAUCUCUGGAAUAUAUUCCUCCUGGGCUGGGAAACCUGUUCAGUGUUUCCAGAGGCCGAACAAGAGGCAGAUGCUGUGGCAUCAUUUCCGUGGCAGUGCGAGGCGGUCUCAUGUUCCACCCUGUCGCUCAUCGUGCUUUACGAUGGAAGAAGAUGUGACCUCUACUUUUCCUACGUCUUCGGGAAAGCGCAUUAUAGGACAUAUUUUACUGUUCAGUGAUGUCACCUGAAGGCAGAAGUGACACAGUUGGACCAUUACACAAUCUGCUCCUGAAUCUGGGUCAGCAGAGGCGUCGUAUUUUUACUCACUGUACACACAGUGGGUCCGUGUCCCUCGCCGGUGAUGAAUGGUCCUCGGAGCAGCAGGUUCCAUUGUACCUGCACAUGCAGAAAGGGGGGCCCGGGUCCCUUCUGUGAUCCGGUGUCCCGCUGUCUCAGGUUUCCUUUAGGGAACCCCUCGUAGCCUCCGGUUUGGCAAACAUUAUGCUGGACUUCCUGUCUCUGGCAGAAGUAUGGCUGGAGGCCCUCUCUGGGGACAGAAUGACUAUUGUCCUCGGCUUUUUUUGCUUUCCCCUCCUUUCCUUCUGGCUUGCCCGUCCUCUUUCUCUGGACCAGGGACGCCUGCAGGUGAGCGUCAGAAAUGAUGCUCAAAGGCGUGAGG